rnacentral:misc_RNA from 1 species
AAACGGUUCGGUUUGGUUUGGUACCAUUUGGGACCGCUGUCUUAAUUAGUGGACCGCUCUCUCAAUUCGUUAACGGAUGCUUUAUUAAUUACAGAGAAAUAAUCCUGUGAUUUACAGAGGAAUUGGAACUUCCAGAUAUUAUUAGCCACGCGUCAAGCCUGCAUCGGAAAAUUAUGCUUCCGUGAAAAGACAGUUGUGGAGCGAAUCGCCACCUGAAUCUGUCUUGGUCCUGAUGGAUGUUACGUGGACAAAAUGAAGGGAAGUUAAUUAGUUAAAUACGACAGGUAAAAUCCUAAGAUAUUUUUUGGCGGAU